AUACGUAGGUGACAAGCGUUAUCCGGAUUUACUGGGCGUAAAGGGCGUGUAGGCGGUCUUGCAAGUCAGAAGUGAAAUUCCUGAGCUCAACUCGGGCGCUGCUUCUGAAACUGCAGGACUUGAGUGCUGGAGGGGAUAGCGGAAUUCCUAGUGGAGCGGUAAAAUGCGCAGAUAUUAGGAAGAACACCGGUGGCGAAGGCGGCUAUCUGGACAGUAACUGACGCUGAGGCGCGAAAGCGUGGGGAGCAAACAGGAUUAGAUACCCUGGUAGUCCACACUGUAAACGAUGAAUGCUAGGUGUAGGGGGUAUCGACCCCUUCUGUGCCGCAGUUAACACAAUAAGCAUUCCGCCUGGGGAGUACGGCCGCAAGGUUGAAACUUAAAGGAAUUGACGGGG
rnacentral:rRNA from 1 species